AAUCAACGCUGGCGGCGCGCCUAACACAUGCAAGUCGAACGAGAAAGCCGGGGCAACCUGGUGAGUAAAGUGGCGUACGGGUGAGUAACACGUGGAUCAUCCACCUUCUUGUGGGGAAUAACGAUGGGAUACCGUCGCUAAUACCGCAUAAGCUCGAGAGAGGAAAGCAGCAAUGCGCUGGAAGAGGAGUCCGCGGCCGA
rnacentral:rRNA from 1 species